UCUAUCAAAAACUAAUAAAUUAUAGUUUUUUAUUUAAAAUAAAAGCGAUUACAAAGGAAAUGUUUACUGUUCAUGUUUUUUUAUUGUAUGGAAAAAUCCCACUUAAAAAAACAGACAGCCAUUACAUUUUUCCUCUCGCGCACCCCCUGGUGGCAGCUCGCGUACCCCUGGGGGUGCGCGUACCACACUUUGGGAAUCCCUGCACUAGAGAGACAG